AUGCUUUCUUUGGCAACAUAUAUUCUAAAAUGUAAAUAAUGCAGAGAAGAUUAGUCUGGCCUUAUGUAAGGAUAACUCACAAAUUCACAAAGUAUUUUAUGUUUUU